rnacentral:rRNA from 1 species
GACGAGGGGUCCAAGCGUUGUUCGGAAUCAUUGGGCGUAAAGCGGGUGUAGGUGGCUCUAUAAGUCAGAAGUGAAAGCCCCGGGCUUAACCCGGGAAGUGCUUUUGAUACUGCAGAGCUUGAAUGUGGGAGAGGAUCGUGGAAUUCCAGGUGUAGUGGUGAAAUACGUAGAUAUUGGGAAGAACACCAGUGGCGAAGGCGGCUCACUGGACCGGACUGACGCUGAGGCGACGCAAGCGGAGGGCAAACGGG